rnacentral:rRNA from 1 species
CCUACGGGGGGCAGCAGUGGGGAAUAUUGCACAAUGGGGGAAACCCUGAUGCAGCGACGCCGCGUGAGUGAAGAAGUAAUUCGUUAUGUAAAGCUCUAUCAGCAGGGAAGAAAAUGACGGUACCUGAGUAAGAAGCCCCGGCUAACUACGUGCCAGCAGCCGCGGUAAUACGUAGGGGGCAAGCGUUAUCCGGAUUUACUGGGUGGAAAGGGAGCGUAGACGGCAGUGCAAGGCUGGAGUGAAAGGCGGGGGCUCAACCCCCGGACUGCUCUGGAAACUGUACGGCUGGAGUGCAGGAGAGGUAAGUGGAAUUCCUAGUGUAGCGGUGAAAUGCGUAGAUAUUAGGAGGAACACCAGUGGCGAAGGCGGCUUACUGGACUGUAACUGACGUUGAGGCUCGAAAGCGUGGGGAGCAAACAGGAUUAGAUACCCCUGUAGUC